UUGGUCACCUGUGUGCCAUGCUGCCAGUUUUGUGGAAACUGAGCUUCCUGCUUUUGGGUCCUUGGUGCCCCCCGUCACACCAUAAGGUUUAACAAAGCUGUCAGCUGAAGGAGCAGUGGGGUCAGGCUGUGCUGACACGGUCUUUGCUUAGUGGACUGAUGUAUCAAAUGAGAAUCGAGGAGGGAGGGUGUAAAGAAAUACAACUUCCUUAGAGCAACACACAGCAAAGGACUCGGUCCACCCUGAAGAGCUUCUGUGCAGAGAUAGAAAGUAUUUGAAAUAUAAAUAAUAACUUGCAACACACAGUAGAAAAAGAAGAAAAAGAAACCCCUCCCGACUGAACAUACAUGGCUGAACACACGUUCAAGAACCAGCGUUUAGCCCAUUCUCAAAAAAGGGUCAAAUGCCUGGUGUGUCUGUAGAUAUAGAGAUGAGACAUGAAGGACAUUCACUUAAAAUAAAUCAUGUUCCAUAACUGAAGAAGCCUCUCUACUUUCCCAACUCA